rnacentral:rRNA from 1 species
GUUUACGGUCAUGCCACCCUGAACAAGCCCGAUCCUGCCUGAUCUUGGAAGUUAAGCAGGGUCGGGCCUGGUUAGUACUUGGAUGGGAGACCACCUAGGAAGACCUGGUGCUGUAGGCG